rnacentral:rRNA from 1 species
GUGACUGCGUACCUUUUGUAUAAUGGGUCAGCGACUUAUAUUUAGUAGCAAGGUUAACCGAAUAGGGGAGCCGUAGCGAAAGCGAGUGUUAACUGCGCGUUUAGUUGCUAGGUAUAGACCCGAAACCGAGUGAUCUAGCCAUGGGCAGGUUGAAGGUUGAGUAACAUCAACUGGAGGACCGAACCGACUAACUUUGAAAAGUUAGCGGAUGACUUGUGGCUGGGGGUGAAAGGCCAAUCAAACCGGGAGAUAGCUGGUUCUCCCCGAAAUCUAUUUAGGUAGAGCCUCGGACGAAUUCCAUUGGGGGUAGAGCACUGUUAAGGCUAGGGGGUCAUCCCGACUUACCAACCCUUUGCAAACUCCGAAU